rnacentral:rRNA from 1 species
GACGAACGCUGGCGGCGUGCUUAACACAUGCAAGUCGAACGGAAAGGCCCUGCUUGCAGGGUACUCGAGUGGCGAACGGGUGAGUAACACGUGGGUGAUCUGCCCUGCACUUCGGGAUAAGCCUGGGAAACUGGGUCUAAUACCGGAUAGGAGCCAUUUUUAGUGUGAUGGUUGGAAAGUUUUUUCGGUGUAGGAUGAGCUCGCGGGCUAUCAGCGUGUUGGUGGGGUAAUGGCCUACCAAGGCGGCGACGGGUAGCCGGCCUGAGAGGGUGGACGGCCACAUUGGGACUGAGGUACGGCCCAGACUCCUACGGGAGGCAGCAGUGGGGAAUAUUGCACAAUGGGCGCAAGCCUGAUGCAGCGACGCCGCGUGGGGGAUGACGGCCUUCGGGUUGUAAAAUCCUUUCGCUAGGGACGAAGCUUUUUGUGACGGUACCUAGAUAAGAAGCACCGGCUAACUACGUG